GCAGCUGUGGCCUAUUGGUUAGCGCUUCGGACUUGCAACCGGAGGGUUGCCAGUUCGAACCCCGACCAGUAGGCA
rnacentral:tRNA from 1 species